rnacentral:rRNA from 1 species
CCUACGGGUGGCUGCAGUGGGGAAUAUUGGGCAAUGGACGCAAGCCUGACCCAGCAACGCCGCGUGAAGGAAGAAGGCUUUCGGGUUGUAAACUGCUUUUAUGGGGGAAGAGCAGAAGACAGUACCCCUUGAAUAAGCCACAGCUUACUACGUGCCAGCAGCCGCGGUAAUACGUAGGUGGCAAGCGGUGUCCGGAUUUACUGGGUGGAGAGGGCGUGCAGCCGGGGAGACAAGUCAGAUGUGAAAUCCACGGGCGCAACCCGUGAACUGCAUUUGAAACUGUUUCACUUGAGUGUCGGAGAGGUAAACGGAAUUCCUUGUGUAGCGGUGAAAUGCGUAGAUAUAAGGAAGAACACCAGUGGCGAAGGCAGAUUACUGGACGAUAACUGACGGUGAGGCGCGAAAGCGUGGGGAGCAAACAGGAUUAGAUACCCCAGUAGUC